rnacentral:lncRNA from 1 species
GUGAUCCCAAGAUCUCACCCAUGCCCCCUCCCCCAGGAUGCAGCCCACUGGCCUCCAAAUGUCAAGGUCCCACCACAUUACAUCUGCCAGAAGAUUCUGCGAUGACCUGACUCCAGGAGCCACGGGAGAAAGAAGCCCACUGCCAUGUCACUGCACCAGAGCCCCACCCACCUGUAUCUACCUGUGACUCUUCUGCUGGGAAAUUGAAGCUGAGAGGGGUGAAGCAACGUGCCCAAGCUCACAUGGAGUGCACAUGGCAGAGCCAGGACUUGAACUCAUCCACCCAAUUCCAGGCCAAGGAUCUCUUUGUAUCUCAUUGUUCUCUUGGCCAAUGGGACUCAUCUAGCAAGGGCCAAGUAUGGUGCAGCUGCAGACAGGACACUACUGGAAGAUUGAAGCAGAGGGGCAGCCUGAGGGAAAAUAUUUCAGUCCUGUCACACAGCCCAUGUCCCAGAUGGGGUCACCAGGAGAGCCAAUGCAGAGCAAAGGCACAAAGUGAUGCUCAUGCUAAGUAGCAAUCAAGGAACCACAAAGUAACACAAGAACUGCCCAAGAGACCCAGGCUGAGUUUCAGAGCCGUAGAUGCCUGGGUGCUGAGCAUAAGUGCCCUGAACCCAUCUGGCUCCACAGGCCGGGAAUCG